rnacentral:lncRNA from 1 species
GUCAUGGGAGCGGUUCCUUUGCUGGAGUCUCCAGCAAGUGGUGCCCAAGGGAUGCAGUGCAAGCAGAGUUUGGAGUUUGCGGCCGGUUUCCAGGACUGACAAGGAGGCUCACGGGAUGCAGGUCACGCUGCAUCUGGAAGAUCAUCUCUGGGCUUGGUGUGUCUCAAAAUCAUCAGGCAAAGUGGCCCUGUCUCAGGGCGAUUCUGGAAAGUGCUCAGUCCACCCCAGUAUCUUCACCUGAGCAUUCUACUUUGUUGACUGGAUCUGGCUCAUCAAGGGCUGAGGAAGUUCUUCAGGCAGAAUGAGGAAGAUACAUAGAUGAACUAUCUGGAUAAGGAAAAGAGGAAGAACAUUUGAGACAAAUGGAUAGCUGGCAUGAAGUUUCCUCUUCUCCAGAACUAAGGGCUGCCACCUGUUCAGAGAACAAGUUCACUCUGGCUAGAAGUACAACACCUGGUCCCCUUUCCUU